CUUGAUUACACCUGCAAAGACCCAAGUUCUAAAUAAGGUCAUAUUCACAGGCACCAGGGGUACCAGGUGUCAAGAUUUCACAAUCCUGUUUGGGGGACACAACUCAACCCACAACUCCCCGUGAAGAAGCCUUGAAAAGGAUGUUCACCCGCCUUCUUUAAUGUCCUACAUCAGGCGGCCUCCUUUCUUUCUCUCCUUGCAGGUCCGGGUGGAUUCCUACCCACGUGCACUAAGGCACAGCAACUCCAGAGGAGAUGACGCCAAGGCUGCACAGACAGAACCCCGCAGGGGCAAAGCAAGCUCCAACCCCUGCACCUGCCACUGGGAGGGGACCCUCGAAGAGUCCCACCUCUCACAGGAGGGCAGAGCUGUGUCUGCUCAGGGCCUCUCCGGCUGCCUCCCAGCUCUGGUGUGGGGUGGAGGCAGGCAAAGAAGCAUAAAGGCGAAGCCGAGGAAGUGCCACAGAGAAUGCUGUUGAAGGCCAGGGGAGAGAUGGGAUGUGGGGGCUUCUCAGGGUGAAAUGAAUCACUUGGAGAGCCAUUUUUUUCUUCUGGGUUUUUUCUUUCUCCAACUGGUCUCUCCUAGACCCAGUCCAAACCGCAGCUCCUCGGGGAGUUGGCCAGCCC
rnacentral:lncRNA from 1 species